AUUGAACGCUGGCGGAAUGCUUUACACAUGCAAGUCGAACGGCAGCACGGACUUCGGUCUGGUGGCGAGUGGCGAACGGGUGAGUAAUGUAUCGGAACGUGCCCAGUCGUGGGGGAUAACGUAGUGAAAAUUACGCUAAUACCGCAUACGAUCUAUGGAUGAAAGCGGGGGACCGCAAGACCUCGCGCGAUUGGGGCGGCCGAUAUCAGAUUAGGUAGUUGGUGGGGUAAAGGCCCACCAAGCCAACGAUCUGUAGCUGGUCUGAGAGGACGACCAGACACACUGGAACUGAGACCCGGUCCAGACUCCUACGGGAGGCAGCAGUGGGGAAUUUUGGACAAUGGGCGAAAGCCUGAUCCAGCCAUUCCGCGUGCAGGAUGAAGGCCCUCGGGUUGUAAACUGCUUUUGUACAGAACGAAAAGGUUUCUACUAAUACUAGGAGCUCAUGACGGUACUGUAAGAAUAAGCACCGGCUAACUACGUGCCAGCCGCCGCGGUAA
rnacentral:rRNA from 1 species